UACGGAGGGUGCAAGCGUUAUCCGGAUUCACUGGGUUUAAAGGGAGCGUAGGUGGGUUGGUAAGUCAGUGGUGAAAUCCCCGAGCUUAACUUGGGAACUGCCAUUGAUACUAUCAGUCUUGAAUACUGUGGAGGUUAGCGGAAUAUGUCAUGUAGCGGUGAAAUGCUUAGAUAUGACAUAGAACACCCAUUGCGAAGGCAGCUUGCUACACAAUGAUUGACGCUGAGGCACGAAAGCGUGGGGAUCAAACAGG
rnacentral:rRNA from 1 species